rnacentral:misc_RNA from 1 species
GCAAACUUGGUCAUUUAGAGGAAGUAAAAGUCGUAACAAGGUUUCCGUAGGUGAACCUGCGGAAGGAUCAUUACUGAGUGCCGGUCCCUCGUGGACCGAACCUCCCACCCUUGUCUCUUGUAUACCCUGUUGCUUUGGCGGGCCCACUGGGAAUCCCCAGUCGCCGAGGGGCACUGUGCCCCUGGGCCCGUGCCCGCCAGAGCGCCCUUGAACCCUAAUGAAGAUGGACUGUCUGAGCAUUUUUGAUAAUAAUCAAAACUUUCAACAAUGGAUCUCUUGGUUCCGGCAUCGAUGAAGAACGCAGC